rnacentral:rRNA from 1 species
UGGGGAAUAUUGGACAAUGGGCGAAAGCCUGAUCCAGCCAUGCCGCGUGUGUGAAGAAGGUCUUCGGAUUGUAAAGCACUUUAAGUUGGGAGGAAGGGCAGUAAGCGAAUACCUUGCUGUUUUGACGUUACCGACAGAAUAAGCACCGGCUAACUCUGUGCCAGCAGCCGCGGUAAUACAGAGGGUGCAAGCGUUAAUCGGAAUUACUGGGCGUAAAGCGCGCGUAGGUGGUUCGUUAAGUUGAAUGUGAAAGCACCGGGCUCAACCUGGGAACUGCAUCCAAAACUGGCGAGCUAGAGUAGGGCAGAGGGUGGUGGAAUUUACUGUGUAGCGGUGAAAUGCGUAGAUAUAGGAAGGAACACCAGUGGCGAAGGCGACCACCUGGGCUCAUACUGACACUGAGGGGCGAAAGCGUGGGGAGCAAACAGGA